rnacentral:rRNA from 1 species
UACGUAGGGAGCAAGCGUUGUCCGGAAUCAUUGGGCGUAAAGCGCGCGUAGGCGGCCCUGUAAGUCCGUUGUGAAAGUCAAAGGCUCAACCUUUGAAAGCCGAUGGAUACUGCAGGGCUAGAGUCCGGAAGAGGCGAGUGGAAUUCCUGGUGUAGCGGUGGAAUGCGCAGAUAUCAGGAGGAACACCGGUGGCGAAGGCGGUUCUCUGGGCAUGAUCUGACGCUGAGGAGCGAAAGUGUGGGGAGCGAACAGG